rnacentral:rRNA from 1 species
GUGAAGCGGCAACAGCUCAAAUUUGAAAUCUCAGGUAUUCUACUUGCGAGUUGUAAUUUGAAGAGGAUGUUUCGGUUGUGACCUUGGCCUAAGUUCCUUGGAACAGGACGUCGUAGAGGGUGAGAAUCCCGUACACGGCUGUAGGUUUACUUCCAUGUGUAACUCCUUCGAAGAGUCGAGUUGUUUGGGAAUGCAGCUCAAAAUGGGUGGUAAAUUUCAUCUAAAGCUAAAUACUGGCGAGAGACCGAUAGCGCACAAGUAGAGUGAUCGAAAGAUGAAAAGCACUUUGAAAAGAGAGUUAAACAGUACGUGAAAUUGUUGAAAGGGAAGCGUUUGCAAUCAGACUUGCUUGCGGUUGAUCAACGUUCCUUCUGGUUCGUGCACUCUGCCGUUCGCAGGCCAGCAUCGGUUAGGACAGUGGGACAAAGACUCAAGGAAUGUGGCUCUCUUCGGGGAGUGUUAUAGCCUUGUGUGUAAUGCCACUUGACCUGACUGAGGUCCGCGCUUUUUGCUAGGAUGCUGGCGUAAUGGUUGUAAACGGCCCGUCUUGAAACACGGACCAAGGAGUCUAACAUCUAUGCGAGUGUUUGGGUGUCAAACCCAUACGCGUAAUGAAAGUGAACGGAGGUGGGAGUCUUCGGAUGCACCAUCGACCGAUCCUGAUGUUCUCGGAUGGAUUUGAGUAGGAGCAUAGCUGUUGGGACCCGAAAGAUGGUGAACUAUGCCUGAAUAGGGUGAAGCCAGAGGAAACUCUGGUGGAGGCUCGCAGCGGUUCUGACGUGCAAAUCGAUUCGUCAAAUUUGGGUAUAGGGGCGAAAGACUAAUCGAACC